GAUCCAUGCUGUUCGCUUACAGACCCUAUAACAAGUAGCGAAACUGAUAGCGAACAGCAUGGAUCCUGAUCAGACUGCGCGGAUGCGCAGGCUGGUCUGGAUCCAUGCUGGUCGCAAACCCACUAUGUUGGUUUUGUCGUGACGCGGCUCAUUUGCUACAGCUAACCUGAUAUUACUGGUUGUAGACAAACACUGACAGAACCACCACACCAUCUUUUCAACCAAUAGUUAAAGGAUUCGAGCCAUGGAAGCAUCAGCAGAUUUUACAUGUGAGAAAGCUAUCCAGUCAGCUUACAUAAUGUCAGUGGUGCACCUGAGGUUUUCCCCCACCAGUACAGCUGGAUUAGGUUGCCAUAUGACCUACAUUUAGUUUGUGCAAUGUAAAACUUAACAUUAAAAAAAAAUUGUACAAGUUUUGUUUUUUGAUAAAUUAUAUUCAAAGAGCA